GUGCAGCAGGCGCGAAUCCUCCGCAAUGCUCGAAAGAGCGACGGGGGACUCCGAGUGCCUACGCUUUGCGUAGGCUUUUCCAAGCCUAAAAAGCUUGGGGAAUAAGGGCUGGGUAAGACGGGUGCCAGCCGCCGCGGUAAUACCCGCAGCCCGAGUGGUGACCGCUUUUAUUGGGCCUAAAGCGUCCGUAGCCGGUCUGGUAAAUGCCGUGGGUAAAUCGUCUGGCUUAACCAGACGAAUUCCAGGUAGACUGCCAGACUAGGGACCGGAGGAAGGAGAGGGUACUCCGGGGGGUAGGGUGAAAUCAGCAAGGUGAGUUGCUGAUGUAACUUGCCUUGCAAGUCACAAUCCUGUAAUCCU
rnacentral:rRNA from 1 species